AAUACUCGACAGGAGUGACAAUUUUCAGUCAUUAAAAAUGCGAUGAUAUGUCUAUUUUUACACUCAGCAUUGUAAUUCGAGUAGAGGAAAUGCGUUUCAGGAGUUCUCUGGUGAAACGUUGCAAUUCUUUCGUCAAAAUUGUCCCGAACUUUUGGAACAUUGAAUUUACUGGCAGAGAGUGAGGUUAUGUACGAAAUUGUGAUAAGAAAUUGUGAGUGUUUUUCAUGUGAAUAUUUUAUAAAUCUGUAAACCAUCUACUGGGAAUGUACAUCGACCUUUGGCACUGGUGGUAGUCUAGAUAAUCAUCAGGAGUCUCCAAUGAUCAGAUUCUACACGGCGAGGCGUUUACCCACGAGACGCCGUCGAACAUCGCCCGCCACCGCUCCCUAGCCUGGUAUACAACGGCUAACGCGUGUAUGUAUGUAUCACUGGUUGAGUCCAACACUUGCGCUGGGAGAAUUGGACGCCAGGACCCCAUACACCGGCUCCCAACCGACCCUAGACGUCCUUGAUGCCUGCGACCCUCACAAUUACUACGGGAGAAUACCCGGGUAAAAUCCCGCAUCAUAGGGGGGAAAGGGGGAAAUUGUUGGAGGUGAGGUGAAUCGACAUUUCAGCUGGUGUUCAUGAUCCAGGAAAAAAAAUAUGAAAAAUUUAGAGCACCAACUGGGAACCGAAAACCUCAAAUAUCCCCCUCAAACAUCUCCAGCCAUUCGAAGUGAAACAAGAACAUAUUCUCCUUCACUUUCAAGUGGAUUUUCUAUUGCCACAAAUGGUCGAACACAUUCAUAAUUUUUCAUUUCAAGCUGAAUGCUUUCCAUUCAUGUCAUAUUAACAUUUUUUUUUUUCUCAACACACAUUGCGUGGAAGUCUGUGUUAUUCUCAAUUCCCUUCUUUUGUAUGUUCAUUUUUUAUAUUUUUCCUUGGGUCAUAAAAUUCCCGGCAACCCAGUGUUUUGUGUGAUUCCUUUCUACUCACGGAGUUUCUAAUUUUCUCAAAAACAAAAAUAAGGAUCACGGAAAAUGAAGAAUUUCCUUGGGUAUCGGGCAACACGGACAUCGUCAUGGUAAUAACGGUAACAUAACCGUAAAUCCCAGGGUCCGGACAAACGGCCAACUGUAUAUUCACCGGUCGUGCUAACCAGAAUUCAACAUUUGAGCCUUUUAUGGGUUAUUAUUAAUGACUGACAAAUGGCUGGGUUUUUUUUUUUCCUACGAAUGAAAGCGGAAUGGAAGAGCCAGAGGGACAAUAAUUGGAUAAUACGCGAGAAAUAUGAUAAAAACAUCACUUUCCCUCGUUCGUGGAUGCAAUCGAAAUUAUUCAAAUUUAAAUAAAAGAAUAUUUUCACUUUCGAACUAUCCAAUGACAUUUUGUUUUUUUAUUUUCAAGUUGCGUCAUGGUAUCAUCAACAGUCUCGGCCAAUGGGACGAAACGUCUGGUUUUUUAUGUGCAAUAAACAUCUAUGCAAUUUUUUUAUUUCCAUAUUAUUCAUAUUAUCCUCUCAUUCGGGAAUAAAAUUAUAAAUAUUGAAGGAUUUUUAAGAAUUCCGGAGAAAUGACGGAUAAAAAAAUAUAGAAAUGAAACAUUCCGUAAUUCCAAAACAUUUCCCAGGAAAAUAAUCGAUCAAAUAAUAAUUUAUCAAUCAUUAUUCAAUAAACUAUUGAAUAUGUGUGCAAUUCCAUGAUAAAAAAUACAAUUUUCUUGUCUCGGGGGGGAAUAAAAAUCGUAGAAUUGAGACGAAACGAGUAUAGAAUAGACCCGACAUCCCGGAGCGUCCCACUGACCUUACCUCACGAUAUACCAUUUUGGCCAUGUGCAGAGGCACUCCAAAAAAGGUGUAUCGAGGUGAGUAAGAUCCCAAGAAGUGGCAACGAGGCCUGCCCCAUUCUGUAUCCACAAUGUGAGAGCAUACACUGUAUAGUCCACCGGGUUUAUACAUACGAAUGGCUAUAUGUACGCAUUCAAGUAGCUUGCAAGGGGUCGAAGGACGAAACAACCAAUGGGUAGAGAGGAAGAGAGUGAGAGAAAUGUUGAGCUAUCGGUGGAGUGAGUGAGAGAGACGAAUAAAGCGGCAUUAACCAUACGACUCUCACCACUACCACCCCAAUCGGCUUUGGUCUCUCAUCUUCGAUCCGUUGCCGUCCGAAAUAUGCCCCCACGAAGCACCUCUCUCUCACUCUCUGGUUUCAUCUCACUCACGCUUUUAGGACCUUUAUUCGGGGAGAGUCAACGCAUUACGAAGACUUUUCAGGCGUUUUGAAUACGACUCCACUGUUGAGAACUUCACCAUUGGGAUUGGGGAACUCAAUAGGGGAGACUGGUAUGAAGCAUUUUGAUUGAGGAUACCUCAGGAAUACACGAUGCGAUUUCGACGAGUCAGGUCUCAUUUUCAGGCUUAGACAACUAUCUUUAACGUGGAAAAACCUAAAGAAAUUCCACUCUAACGUUCUCGAGUUAGGGCCGAUUUAGAACUGCUCUUGUUUGCUCAAUCUACGCCAAGUUAAUUUCCCUUUAACAUGAGGUUUCGUUGGGUAUCUCGAGAACCAAUAGAUCUAGCGAAAUAUUCAUCAGAACCUUUUUUGUAGAUCUAACUUUUUUCUAAAUAAAAUAUAUU